rnacentral:sRNA from 1 species
GCCAGGCAUGGUGGCAGAUGCCUGUAAUUCUAGUUACUUGGAAGGCUGAGGCAGGAGGAUGGCAAGUUUGAGGCCAGCCUGGACAGCAUAGGCAACACAAUGAAAUACCCUGUCAACAAUAAAAAUAAAUAAUCAAGGGGCUGGAGAUGUAGCUCUGUGGCAGUGUGUGUGCUUACUAUGUUGGAAACUCUAGGUUCAAUCCCUAUUGCUUCCCUCUUCAGCUUCAU